GGUAGCGUGGCCGAGCGGUCUAAGGCGCUGGUUUAAGGCACCAGUCUCUCGGAAGCGUGGGUUUCGAAUCCCACCGCUGCCA